AUUGAACGCUGGCGGCAGGCCUAACACAUGCAAGUCGAACGCGAAAGUCCUUCGGAUGAGUAGAGUGGCGGACGGGUGAGUAACGCGUGGGAAUCUGCCCUGUAGUGGGGGAGUAACGUUCCGAAAGGGACGCUAAUACCGCAUACGCCCCAAGGGGAAAGCGGGGAGUCUUCGGACCUCGUGCUACAGGAUGAGCUUGCGUCGGAUUAGCUAGUUGGUGGGGUAAAGGCCUACCAAGGCGACGAUCCGUAGCUGGUCUGAGAGGAUGAUCAGCCACACCGGGACUGAGACACGGCCCGGACUCCUACGGGAGGCAGCAGUGGGGAAUAUUGCGCAAUGGGGCAACCCUGACGCAGCCAUGCCGCGUGUGUGAAGAAGGCC
rnacentral:rRNA from 1 species